rnacentral:RNase_P_RNA from 1 species
CCAGAUCGCUGGGCGACUGCUCCAAAAUAAUUUUGGGGAGGAAAGUCCGGGCUCCACGGAAACACGGUGCCGGGUAAUACCCGGCGGGGGUGACCCUAGGGAAAGUGCCACAGAAAGUAAACCGCCUGAUUCAAGUUGUUUAUUUUAUUCAGGUAAGGGUGAAAGGGUGUGGUAAGAGCACACCGCGUAAACGGUAACGUCUACGGCAUGGUAAACCCCACCGGGAGAAAGAUCAAAUAGGAGUGAGAAGAUAAGGUUGUCCUAUUAAAGACUUUAUCAGGUGUGUUUUCGCACUUAUCGCUCGGGUCGAUCGCGUGAGGUUUCUGGUAACAGGAAUCCUAGAUGAAUAGUCGCCAGUUUUCGUAACUGAAACUACAGAACCCGGCUUACAGGCGAUCUGGUUAU